rnacentral:rRNA from 1 species
GAUGAACGCUAGCGGCAGGCUUAACACAUGCAAGUCGAGGGGUAGAAGUCUUCGGACUUUGAGACCGGCGCACGGGUGCGUAACGCGUAUGCAAUCUGCCUUGUACAAAGGGAUAGCCCAGAGAAAUUUGGAUUAAUACCUUAUAGUAUAUCGAUGUGGCAUCACAAUGAUAUCAAAGAUUUAUCGGUACAAGAUGAGCAUGCGUCCCAUUAGCUAGUUGGUAUGGUAACGGCAUACCAAGGCAAUGAUGGGUAGGGGUCCUGAGAGGGAGAUCCCCCACACUGGUACUGAGACACGGACCAGACUCCUACGGGAGGCAGCAGUGAGGAAUAUUGGUCAAUGGGCGCAAGCCUGAACCAGCCAUGCCGCGUGCAGGAUGAAGCAUCUAUGGUGUGUAAACUGCUUUUGUACGGGAAGAAACACCUCUUCGUGAAGAGGCUUGACGGUACCGUAAGAAUAAGGAUCGGCUAACUCCGUGCCAGCAGCCGCGGUAAUACGGAGGAUCCAAGCGUUAUCCGGAAUCAUUGGGUUUAAAGGGUCCGUAGGCGGUUUUAUAAGUCAGUGGUGAAAUCCGGUAGCUCAACUAUCGAACGGCCAUUGAUACUGUAGAACUUGAAUUAUUGUGAAGUAACUAGAAUAUGUAGUGUAGCGGUGAAAUGCUUAGAUAUUACAUGGAAUACCAAUUGCGAAGGCAGGUUACUAACAAUACAUUGACGCUGAUGGACGAAAGCGUGGGGAGCGAACAGGAUUAGAUACCCUGGUAGUCCACGCCGUAAACGAUGGAUACUAGCUGUUUGGCAGUAAUGCUGAGUGGCUAAGCGAAAGUGAUAAGUAUCCCACCUGGGGAGUACGAACGCAAGUUUGAAACUCAAAGGAAUUGACGGGGGCCCGCACAAGCGGUGGAGCAUGUGGUUUAAUUCGAUGAUACGCGAGGAACCUUACCAGGGCUUAAAUGUAGUGGGACAGGCUUGGAAACAGGCCCUUCUUCGGACUCAUUACAAGGUGCUGCAUGGUUGUCGUUAGCUCGUGCCGUGAGGUGUCAGGUUAAGUCCUAUAACGAGCGCAACCCCUGUUGUUAGUUGCCAGCGAGUCAUGUCGGGAACUCUAACAAGACUGCCGGUGCAAACCGUGAGGAAGGUGGGGAUGACGUCAAAUCAUCACGGCCCUUACGUCCUGGGCUACACACGUGCUACAAUGGCCGGUACAGAGAGCAGCCACUGGGCGACCAGGAGCGAAUCUAUAAAACCGGUCACAGUUCGGAUUGGAGUCUGCAACCCGACUCCAUGAAGCUGGAAUCGCUAGUAAUCGGAUAUCAGCCAUGAUCCGGUGAAUACGUUCCCGGGCCU